UGUCAGCUCUAAUAUUUCAACGGUCACACUGAUCACAAGUUGAUAUUUAUAAAAAAAAAUUGUGCUAUUUAAAAGCAGCCGCAUAUUUUGCGUGGAAAAUCUGAAAUACACAGCAGUAUUCUAAUAAACAUUGUCAAGCCACACAAUGGAGAACAACGAAGCCCCCCCCCCCUCCGGAUCCAACAACAACGAUUUUCCCGUACUUCCGCCACCGCCGAACGCGAACGACAACCACUACAACCAAUACCAUGACCACCAAAUCAGUAACAACAAUGCGGCCCAGAAGCGACUGCAGCAGACCCAGGCCAAGGUGGACGAGGUGGUCGGGAUCAUGCGGGUGAACGUGGAGAAGGUCCUGGAGCGCGACCAGAAGCUAUCGGAACUCGGAGAGCGGGCGGACCAACUGGAGCAGGGAGCCUCCCAGUUCGAGCAGCAGGCCGGCAAGCUGAAGCGCAAGCAAUGGUGGGCCAACAUGAAGAUGAUGAUCAUCCUGGGCGUGAUCGCCGUCGUGCUGCUCAUCAUUGUCCUGGUGUCGCUUUUCAAUUGAUACAAUUAAUCACACACUCUGAAAAACAAAAGCAAAGCCAGCAAAAAACAAUCAAUCAAAAAUGCAAUUCCGUUUCACCAUACAGCAAAGUUAAGGUUCAGAUUAAUCGUUAGUCACGUUUCUUAACGUGGACCCGGCUCCUACUAUAUACACUUAUAAUUGUAUAUUAUAUUUUUAAGCUAAGCAACUCUAAAACUCUAAAGUGUCCGUUUGGCCAUCUAGCAGUGAUAGCAGCAGUGGUGGAGGAACUAAGGCCGUCACCCAAGCACCGCCGCACUAAAAACCUUUGUGGAAGUGAGGCAACCCCACGGAUACGGAAUGGAAAAGGACCAAACAACCAUAUUUAGGACGGGAACCUCAAUUUCUGGUCUUUUCGCGCAAUCAGAGAGAGAUAAUGAAGGAAAAUCAAAGGGAUAACUUACUAAAAUUGCGUCUAGCAUAUAUAUUUAACCAGAAUGUAAUUAUUAAAACUUAAUGUUAAAUCGUAACAUUUUUACGUAUUGUAGCCGCGACCAGAGGUCAACAUGAAUGUGUAUUGCAAAUGUACAAUUAUAUAUACUUGUAUGUCAUCCAAUUGAAAAUACAUCAUGCCACCUACACUUUAA